CCCUUAGAUGUUCUGGGCUGCACGCGCGCUACACUGAUGCGCUCAACGAGUUUUAACCUUGCCUGGAAAGGUUGGGUAAUCUUUUUAAAACGCAUCGUGAUGGGGAUAGAUUAUUGCAAUUAUUAAUCUUCAACGAGGAAUUCCUAGUAAGCGCGAGUCAUCAGCUCGUGCUGAUUACGUCCCUGCCCUUUGUACACACCGCCCGUCGCUCCUACCGAUUGAAUGAUCCGAUGAAUACCAUGGAUUGAGAGUUCAAAUAGGUUCGCCUAUUUUGCUUCUCGAGAAGUGGAGUAAAUCUUAUCAUUUAGAGGAAGGAGAAGUCGUAACA
rnacentral:rRNA from 1 species